rnacentral:rRNA from 1 species
GACGAACGCUGGCGGCGUGCCUAAUACAUGCAAGUAGGACGCAGUUGCGAACGGGUGAGUAACGCGUAGGUAACUAACUAUUAGCGGGGGAUAACUAUUGGAAACUAUAGCUAAUACCGCAUACUAGUAGAUGGACCUGCGUUGUAUUAGCUAGUAGGUAGGAUAAUGGCCUACCUAGGCAACGAUACAUAGCCGACCUGGAGGGGUGAUCGGCCACACUGGGACUGGGACACGGCCCCGGCUCCUAUGGGAGGCAGCAGUAGGGGAUCUUCGGAAAUUGGGGGAACCCUGACCGAGCAAAGCCGCGUGAGUGAAGAAGGUUUUCGGAUCGUAAAGCUCUGUUGUUAAGGAAGCGGUACUUAACCAGAAAGGGACGGCUAACUACGUGCCAGCAGCCGCGGUAAUAC